rnacentral:rRNA from 1 species
UGGGGAAUUUUGGACAAUGGGCGAAAGCCUGAUCCAGCAAUGCCGCGUGUGUGAAGAAGGCCUUCGGGUUGUAAAGCACUUUUGUCCGGAAAGAAAUCCUUGGCUCUAAUACAGUCGGGGGAUGACGGUACCGGAAGAAUAAGCACCGGCUAACUACGUGCCAGCAGCCGCGGUAAUACGUAGGGUGCAAGCGUUAAUCGGAAUUACUGGGCGUAAAGCGUGCGCAGGCGGUUUGCUAAGACCGAUGUGAAAUCCCCGGGGCUCAACCUGGGAAACUGCAUUGGUGACUGGGCAGGCUAGAGUAUGGCAGAGGGGAGUAUAUCCACGUGUAGCAGUGAAAAUGCGUAGAGAUGUGGAGGAAUACCGAUGGCGAAGGCAGCCCCCUGGGCCAAUACUGACGCUCAUGCACGAAAGCGUGGGGGAGCAAACAGGAUUAGAUACCCUGGUAGUCCACGCCCUAAACGAUGUCAACUAGUUGUUGGGGAUUCA